UUGGCCCUGAAUCAAGGCCAGCACUGAAGCUGCUGGUUUCAAACAGGAGCCUAAAGAAAUGUCUUUCUAUGGUCUGUUGGCCAUUUCAGAAAUUUGGAAAUGUGAUGGCCAAUUCAUUAGAAAGUAACAUCU
ensembl:snoRNA